UAAACAUAGACAGUUCAUAUACCUAACUGUCCGCCCGGGAACUACGAGCAUUAGCUUAAAACCCAAAGGACUUGGCGGUGCUUUAAACCCCCCUAGAGGAGCCUGUUCUAGAACCGAUAAUCCCCGUUCAACCUCACCCUUCCUUGUUCUUUCCGCCUAUAUACCACCGUCGUCAGUUUACCCUGUGAAGGUACAACAGUAAGCACAAUCGGCACAGCCCAAAACGCCAGGUCGAGGUGUAGCGUAUGGAAGGGGAAGAAAUGGGCUACAUUCCUUAUCAUUAAGGCAUACGGAUGAUAUGUUGAAACACAUAUCUGAAGGAGGAUUUAGCAGUAAGCAGGAAGUAGAGUGUCCCGCUGAAACCGGC
rnacentral:rRNA from 1 species